GGAGCCAUGGCUCAGGGGUAGAACACCUGGUUUGUAGGCAGAAGGCCCCAGGUUCAAUCCCUGGCUGGCAUCU
rnacentral:tRNA from 1 species